rnacentral:rRNA from 1 species
CUACGGGUGGCAGCAGUGAGGAAUCUUCCACAAUGGGCGAAAGCCUGAUGGAGCGACACCGCGUGAAGGAUGAAGGCCUAACGGUUGUAAACUUCUUUUCUGAAGGAGCAUAAUGAGAGUACUUUAGGAAUAAGGGACGGCUAAAUACGUGCCAGCAGCCGCGGUAAUACGUAUGUCUCGAGCGCUACCCGGAAUUACUGGGUGUAAAGGGUCCGUAGGCGGGUUUGCAAGUUGGAUAUGAAAGACCGGAGCUCAACUUCGUGUUUGUAUCCAAAACUACAAAUCUAGAAUUAGGGAGAGGUAAGCGGAAUUCUGAGUGUAGGAGUGCAAUCCGUAGAUACUCAGAGGAACACCAAAAGCGAAGGCAGCUUACUGGAACUAUAUUGACGCUGAGGGACGAAAGCGUGGGUAGCGAAAAGGAUUAGAUACCCUGGUAGUC